CCUUCGAUAGCUCAGUUGGUAGAGCGUGGGACUGUAAUAGGAAACAUCUUGCUAUCCCAAGGUCGUCGGCUCGAAUCCGGCUCGAAGGA